CAUGGCUCAGGAUGAACGCUAGCGGCAGGCCUAACACAUGCAAGUCGAGGGAGAAGCCCCUUCGGGGCGGAAACCGGCGCACGGGUGCGUAACGCGUAUGCAACCUACCUUUCACAGGGGGAUAGCCCGAAGAAAUUUGGAUUAAUACCCCAUAAUAUUAUUGGAUGGCAUCAUUUGAUAAUUAAAAUUACGAUGGUGAAAGAUGGGCAUGCGUCCUAUUAGCUAGUUGGAGUGGUAACGGCACCCCAAGGCUACGAUAGGUAGGGGUCCUGAGAGGGAGAUCCCCCACACUGGUACUGAGACAGGGACCAGACUCCUACGGGAGGCAGCAGUGAGGAAUAUUAGUCAAUGGUCGGAAGACUGAACCAGCCAUGCCGCGUGCAGGAAGAAUGCCUUAUGGGUUGUAAACUGCUUUUAUAUGGGAAGAAUAAGGAGUACGUGUACUUUGAUGACGGUACCAUAUGAAUAAGCAUCGGCUAACUCCGUGCCAGCAGCCGCGGUAAUACGGAGGAUGCGAGCGUUAUUCGGAAUCAUUGGGUUUAAAGGGUCUGUAGGCGGGCUAUUAAGUCAGGGGUGAAAGGUUUCAGCUUAACUGAGAAAUUGCCUUUGAUACUGGUAGUCUUGAAUAUCUGUGAAGUUCUUGGAAUGUGUAGUGUAGCGGUGAAAUGCUUAGAUAUUACACAGAACACCGAUUGCGGAGGCAGGGGACUAACAGACGAUUGACGCUGAGAGACGAAAGCGUGGGGAGCGAACAGGAUUAGAUACCCUGGUAGUCCACGCUGUAAACGAUGGAUACUAGCUGUUUGGAGAAAUUUGAGUGGCUAAGCGAAAGUGAUAAGUAUCCCACCUGGGGAGUACGCACGCAAGUGUGAAACUCAAAGGAAUUGACGGGGGCCCGCACAAGCGGUGGAGCAUGUGGUUUAAUUCGAUGAUACGCGAGGAACCUUACCAAGGUUUAAAUGGAGACUGACAGGGGCAGAGAUGCCUUUUUCUUCGGACAGUUUUCAAGGUGCUGCAUGGUUGUCGUCAGCUCGUGCCGUGAGGUGUCAGGUUAAGUCCUAUAACGAGCGCAACCCCUAUUGUUAGUUACCAGCACGUAGUGGUGGGGACUCUAGCAAGACUGCCGGUGUAAACCGUGAGGAAGGUGGGGAUGACGUCAAAUCAUCACGGCCCUUACAUCUUGGGCUACACACGUGCUACGAAUGGUCGUUACAGAGAGCAGCCACUGCGCGAGCGAGGAGCGAAUCUAUAAAGACGGUCGCGGUUUCGGAUCGGAGUCUGCGAACUCGACUCCGUGAAGCUGGAAAUCGCUAGUGAAUUCGGAUAUCGGCCGUAUUCCGGUGAAUACGUUUCCCCGGGCCUUGUA
rnacentral:rRNA from 1 species